UUGAGGUUGUUAAUUUCGAAGCAAAAUCAGUAAGUCUACAACUUACUAUGUAUAUUGCAACGUAUCCUUCCAUUAAAAGUAUUGACCAUCUCAGUGAACUUUUAAAAAUACUGGGAAAAAGAAACAAACUGGAAAAACUUUAGAUUCAUCGAACCAAGUACUCAAAGUUAAUAGCAAAUGUACUGGCGCCAACUAUAUUGUCAGAUUUGAUCCAAUAUGUGAAAGAAAUUAGGAUAUAUUCACUAAUUGUAGAUGAGUCAACUGAAAUUGCUGUAAAUAAAUUUAUGGGUAUUUGUAUAAGGUAUUAUAGCAAGAAAUAUAAGACAGUGAUGAUCGACUUUCUCGGCUUUAUCGAAUUAAAAAAAACAACGGCUAUUGACUUGAAAGAUGCUCUGGUACAAUUUUAUCCCAAAUCAAUCUUGAUAUUAAUGAAAUGAUAGGAUUAGGCACAGAUGGGGCAAAUGCAAUGUAUGGAUCAAAUCAUUCCUUAUUUUGAAAGAGAUGGGGCAGUGCAAAAAACACAGUUCAAUAGCAUUGAGUGAUAUUGAAACAGUUAUAAAAGCAUGGCUUGUAAAAGCAAAGUUUAGAAAUGCCAAAAAGGCAAAAGAAAGUAACAAGAAGCAACAAGAAGAGGCA